rnacentral:rRNA from 1 species
UACGUAGGGCGCGAGCGUUGUCCGGAAUUAUUGGGCGUAAAGAGCUCGUAGGCGGCCUGUUGCGUCCGCUGUGAAAUCCCAGGGCUCAACCCUGGGCGUGCAGUGGAUACGGGCAGGCUGGAGGCAGGCAGGGGAGAACGGAAUUCCCGGUGUAGCGGUGAAAUGCGCAGAUAUCGUGAGGAACACCAGAGGCGAAGGCGGCUACCUGGACAAUUGACUGACGCUCAG